GAUGAACGCUGGCGGCGUGCCUAAUACAUGCAAGUCGAGCGAACGGACGAGAAGCUUGCUUUUCUGAUGUUAGCGGCGGACGGGUGAGUAACACGUGGAUAACCUACCUAUAAGACUGGGAUAACUUCGGGAAACCGGAGCUAAUACCGGAUAAUAUUUUGAGCCGCAUGGUUCAAAAGUGAAAGACGGUCUUGCUGUCACUUAUAGAUGGAUCCGCGCUGCAUUAGCUAGUUGGUAAGGUAACGGCUUACCAAGGCAACGAUGCAUAGCCGCCCUGAGAGGGUGAUCGGCCACACGGGAACUGAGACACGGUCCAGACUCCUACGGGAGGCAGCAGUAGGGAAUCUUCCGCAAUGGGCGAAAGCCUGACGGAGCAACGCCGCGUGAGUGAUGAAGGUCUUCGGAUCGUAAAACUCUGUUAUUAGGGAAGAACAUAUGUGUAAGUAACUGUGCACAUCUUGACGGUACCUAAUCAGAAAGCCACGGCUAACUACGUG
rnacentral:rRNA from 1 species